rnacentral:rRNA from 1 species
UACGGGGGGGGCAAGCGUUGUUCGGAAUUACUGGGCGUAAAGGGCUCGUAGGCGGCCAACUAAGUCAGACGUGAAAUCCCUCGGCUUAACCGGGGAACUGCGUCUGAUACUGGUUGGCUUGAAUCCGGGAGAGGGAUGUGGAAUUCCAGGUGUAGCGGUGAAAUGCGUAGAUAUCUGGAGGAACACCGGUGGCGAAGGCGGCAUCCUGGACCGGUAUUGACGCUGAGGAGCGAAAGCUAGGGGAGCAAACGGG